rnacentral:ncRNA from 2 species
GCGAGCAACUCUGGAGAGACCGGUCCAACCCGGCGCCGAAGGUGCAAGCAGCGUCUCCACCCUCCCCCGGGUGCUGCAAACUCUCAGGCAAAAGGACAGAGGGGCGCCU